AGUCGAGCGAGGAGAUAGCUGGAAGUCCUACGGGAUGGAAGGUUAUGUUCGAGCGGCGGACGGGUGAGUAACGCGUGAACAAUCUGUCCCAUGCAGGGGGAUAACACUUGGAAACAGGUGCUAAUACCGCAUAAGACCACGGAGGGGCAUCCCUUUGGGGUAAAAGGAGGAAUCCGGAAUGGGGUGAGUUCGCGUCCGAUUAGCUAGUUGGUGGGGUAAAGGCUCACCAAGGCGACGAUCGGUAGCCGACCUGAGAGGGUGAACGGCCACAUUGGAACUGAGAGACGGUCCAAACUCCUACGGGAGGCAGCAGUGGGGAAUAUUGGGCAAUGGGCGAAAGCCUGACCCAGCAACGCCGCGUGAGGGAAGAAGGUUUUCGGAUUGUAAACCUCUGUCCUUGGUGACGAAGGAAGUGACGGUAGCCAAGGAGGAAGCCCCGGCUAACUACGUGCCAGCAGCCGCGGUAAUACGUAGGGGGCAAGCGUUGUCCGGAAUGACUGGGCGUAAAGGGCGUGUAGGCGGCCGAUUAAGUAUGGAGUGAAAGUCCAUUUUUCAAGGAUGGAAUUGCUUUGUAGACUGGUUGGCUUGAGUGCGGAAGAGGUAAGUGGAAUUCCCAGUGUAGCGGUGAAAUGCGUAGAGAUUGGGAGGAACACCAGUGGCGAAGGCGACUUACUGGGCCGUAACUGACGCUGAGGCGCGAAAGCGUGGGGAGCGAACAGGAUUAGAUACCCUGGUAGUCC
rnacentral:rRNA from 1 species